rnacentral:rRNA from 1 species
GACGAACGCUGGCGGCGUGCUUAACACAUGCAAGUCGAACGGAGUGGCGAACGGGUGAGUAACACGUGGGUGACCUGCCCUGCACUUCGGGGUAAGCCUGGGAAACAGGGGCUAAUACCGGAAAGUGUGGGAUGGGCACGCGGCCUAUCAGCUGGGUGGUGGGGUAAUGGCCUAGCAAGGCGGCGGCGGGUAGCCGGCCUGAGAGGGUGGACGGCCACAUUGGGACUGGGACACGGCCAAGACUCCUACGGGAGGCAGCAGUGGGGAAUAUUGCGCAAUGGGCGGAAGCCUGAUGGAGCGCCGCCGCGUUGGGGAUGACUGUCUUCGGGGUGUAAACGCCUUUCACCAUCUACGCGGUAGAUGGAUAAGAAGCACCGGCUAACUACGUGCCAGCAGCCGCGGUAAUAC